AGGACAUCACAGCAGCGGUCGGAACAAUACAGCAGUCAAUGAGCCAGCCAAGCACCUCUGUCUCGGAUCAUACAGAGCUGCUAGAGGAGCCUUGUAAGACUGUGGAGGAAUUAGAAGAGCUGUGUAAUAAGCUGAAAGAUCCUGACUUUCAAAAGAAGAUGAUUCGUUAUCGGUGUCUGAGUGGAUGCAACUUAGGUGGAAUUAAGAGGAUGCUGAAAAAAAAUUAGGAGAUAACUCCUGAUGGGGACGGUACAGUUACAAAAAGGCAGAAAGGGAAAACUUAAAUUUCAGCACCUCCUAAUCAAUGAUGUCAUCAUACGCAAGUUUAAAAACUUGCCACUAAUGACUAAUAAUGUGUCUGUCACUCCCCAAGAUCUCAAAUUAUUUGAAAUGUAAAUAGGUUGUAAAUUAGAACGUACAUUGUAAAGGUUGUUAGUUCUCAGUACAUGAAUAUUCAUAGCAGUUAAUGGUCUAUUUUGAAAACAAGAUUAAUGUUUGAUGCUUUUGGAAUAGAACUUUCUAAUCUGAGUUCUAGUUUUAAUAACGGUGAUCUCUGUAUUGAAUCAAGGUGCCUGCAGUAAGGCAUACCCACACCAAAAAUCCCAGAGUGUGGAGGAAAUGAUUGCUGUGACCCUAAAAUAUGCCCCAGAUCGUGCAAAAACAGCUAAUCAGAAUCGGUUGAUUUGUCUUGAUGUUCUCUCAGAACAAGUCUCCCCAGAAGAUUUGACUGUCUCCUAACUUCCUCCACUCUCAGCUCAAAACUUUGCAUGAAUAAAUUCUAUUGACUGCUGGCCAUCACCGGGAAGGAGGCACCUCAGGAGUUGGAGAAAGAGGGAUGAUGCAGACACUGAAGAGAUUAACAGAGCCUUAUCCGAUUCAGCUUUGGUCCUGGCUGAUGCUCCACUUUCACCACUGUGUCUUACUGAGCGAUGACUAACUGCAGCGUGUGCUGACCAGAUAACAAGGGACACAUUGAUGGUCACUGAGUGCAUCACUUCGGUCUACUACAAUAGACCGAAUGUCAAAUGAACUGCUGCCAACUACCAGCUAGAUUGCAAGGCACACCUCACUCACCAUGGCCUGCAUCCUUAAGCGUCACUUUGUUUUAAAAAGUUGAGGACGCUGAUUAUGACCUCACUAAACUAAUGAAUAUUAAUUAGGUUAUGCACAGAUACAGUACUGUGCAAAAGUUUGACACUUGGGAAAAAUGUUGCAUAGCAAGGAUGUCUUUGAAAAGGAUUUAUGGCAUUAUUUUUAUUCAUCAAUUAACGUCAUAAAGUCCAGUAUAAAAAAAAAAAAAAAAAACUCAAUAUUUGGUGUGACCACCUUUACCUUCAAAAUAUUACCAAUUCUCCUAGGUACACCUGGAUAUAGAUUAUCUUGGGAUAAACUAUAGCUUCGAGAAUUUGCCACAGUACUUCAAUCCAUUUAGGCUCUCUCAAUUGCUUCGGUCUCGUUCCAGACUGACUCAGUAUUCUGUGGGGACCAUGCCAACUGUUGCAGGGCUCCCUGUUCUUCUAUUCUAUUUGCAAAAGAAACGUUUGGUAGUCUAAAAUGUAUAUUUCCUAUUGACACACUAAACUUGAAAAUAUAAAUAACCAUCUUAUGUGCCUAAGACUUUUGCACAGUACUGUAUAUUUCAAAUAACUUUCACUUUGAUAAAUAGUCAUUCUUGAUGACCAAAUAAAGUGCUCCAAUAAAUAUCUUACAUAAUU